AGCUGUUCCACCCAGACUUCCCCUCGUGUGCCUACAAAAACACACUGUUUUGGGCCAACUUUCCAUCGUCACAUUUGCAGCCAUCUGAAAGCCAGAGCCAGGCUUUGGUGCCGGAAAUAUAGCAGAUCUUCUAAAUGGAGGAGAAACUUCCCUUCUCAGCCUUCCCAGCUUCUGAGGGUGCUAAGCACCGUGAGGUCAUCCCUGGAGGAUAAGCUUCUUGUAACAAGUGGUGGCACAACUGGAAAGGAACAAAGCUGUGGGAAGCAGACAACUGUAACAACAGCUCUUGAGAUGGGCCCCAGCAGCAGACUGAGAUCUCGUGUGUGUGUUGGAGAGAAGGAAUCUGGGAGAGGUCCAGCUGCACUUGCAAUGGAGCCGGUCUGUUCUUCCAAGACUUGGUUUUCUCUCCCUAGGUCUGGAGUAAAUAGGGAGACCUUCUUCCAAAGGUGGCACUGCUGGCUAUUCAAAUGAAUACAGAGAGCUGACUGUGAACGGUCAUGUUCACAAACACAUUUUCCUUUACUGGCAGAGCAUCUGAAAACAUACCUGCGAUUACCUUGGAUUUGGUCAUGAUGAAAAGACAGUGAAAGUUUAUUCUCAAGUUGCACUUCUUCCUUUCUGUUUUUGGAAGCAAAAUGACCGACAUGCAGCUUUGCCAUGGUUGAUGAUGUGACUUUGGCUCACAGCCCAGAAGAAUGUCACUGCCCGACAGGAUGAGGAGGAGAGAACCAAAAUCUAGUGCUGGAGAAUUGUAAACCUGUGUAACAUUUUUUCAGCUGCUUUUGAAACCUGGUGGCAUGAAUGUGAACAUGAGAAGUGUACCAAUAGACCUCUUAUUUUUAAAUCGGCUCUUGAACCACAACCAGUAUAUUUCCAGUGCUGACAUUCUCUCUCCAAGUAUCAGUAAGUUUUGGCAACUUCUCUAGAGCACAAGGAACCAGGAUCUCUGCAAUCCAGGCAGAAGCAAACCCUUCUCUGCAAAAAUGUGGAGGUUUCCUCAAACUGAAGCUGG
ensembl:lncRNA